UUUUGCACCCUCACUCUUCACUUUUCACUUUUCACUUUGAGAUAAAAACCCUUUCCACCAAAAACCACCGCCGGUCGUAACUGCUCACCGUCGACCGUAACUGCUCACCCUCGACCCAAACCACCGCCGACCCAGAACUGUUGACCACCGCCGACCCAGAAACCACCGUCUCAGAACCACCAGCUUCUCACUUCUACCGUCUUCUCACACCACCGACGAACUCGCCGUCUCCAUCGUUCAUCUCUUCAAUCUUCGCACCAUCGUCUUCAAUCUUCGUUCCUCGAUUCAAUCUUCGCACCAUCGUCUCCAUCGUUCCUCUGCGUCUUUGAAGGCUUGAAGGAGGGACUUCUUAAAAACAUGAAAGAUGCUUGCUUGGUUUGGCAAUUAGCAGAGGAUUUGCUUAGGUUGAUUGGUUUGUCUUGUUAUAAUUAGUGUCAUGAACAUCAUCUAGGGGAUUAGGAUAAUUAGUUUGUUUUUGUCUUGGACACAAAAUUGUCAUGCUUCUAUGUUUGUUUUGUGAAGGAUGGGAGACUCAUGUAAUUUGAUGGUACUUAUUGGCCUUCUUUGUGCCUUUUUAUAUCUUUAUUAAUAUAGUUUUUGCCUUUUGACCUUUGUAUUA